rnacentral:lncRNA from 13 species
GAUGGACAGCAUCACUCCAUCGGCAGGAAUCAGUGCUCACAGGGGUAAAGAUGCUUGUAUGGAAGCAUGGAGCCGGCGAGGACCCAGGCCAUCACCUCCCAGACUCCUGACUCCCAGGCAGAAUAUUACCGACUAAGCCUGGAUGCUGGCGACUCCCCAGGCCUUGCUUCAAGUUUUGACUCCACUGCUUCAGCUCAAGAUGGCUCCAAACUUGAAAAUCCUGGGGGAGAAUUACACUCUCAGAGGUACCCAGACUCAACGACUACCUCUUGCAGCCAAACAGGUGAGGGGUGAGUGUGGCAUUCGCAUUCCUGGAGUCAGUGCGCAUUCAGCCUGGAGGUGCCUUGGGCUGGGGCGUUCCCUUGGGGCUUUGAGGUCCAUGACUUGGGGCACCUCUCUGGAACUGAGAAGAAAGUGGCAGCCACUGAGCUCCAGGAAACACAGCACUGGGUCCGGCAUCCCGAGGGAUUGUCAGGUCUGCAGGGGGGUCAGCAGCUAUCCUGCCCCUGCCAUCUACAAAGCCCUGUGCACCUGACCCUGUUGCUCCAUCACCAGAGCUCCCCCUUGACAUGCAUGAGGCUGGAAGGAGACAGUGGCCUUCAGAGCACUGGGAGGGCUCAGCCACCAGAUGACAACUUGAGAUUCAGAAAGAGAAGCUUGGAUUUGCAUACCUCUUUGCAUCUCAUUUGCAUGGACUCAGAACCUGUUCUUUUAAGCUGGAGUCACCGGCCACCUCUGAACCUCCAAAUGUCACUCUGCCAGAGGAUCAGACAAAUAUAUAGAGAAAAAGAACAUGCUGGGGUUGUCCCCAGAGCCCUCUGUAGCAGAGACUCAAGUUGUCACCGCUCUCAUGAGGGGCCUCUGGGUCCUGCUGUCCUCGUCCUGCCCUGCCCUGUGCUCCCUGGUGACCCCAGGCCCAGCCCUUGUGCCUUAUCCCCAGGGACUCCUCACGCUGCUACCUGGCCUCACUCUCGGGAUUCAAGGUUUGGUUUCCCGGGCAGCAGGCUGAGUCUGCAGGAUGGUUAUUCAAGAACAAUGGAGGAGGAAGCUGGAGUGGCUGCGGGAGAGCCUGGCCAGGGAAGCCCUCAGAGCUGUCCUGAGUGGGCUGGGGCGGCCAGCCCUGGUUUCUCUCCAGCACAGACCUUUGGCUGUGGACCCUCAGAGGAGGGUGUCUCUGUGGGCAGGGCUCUUUGCAGCUGAGGUGUCCUGGAGCCAGCUGCCAGCAGCAGUGCCAAGCCUGGAACGUGGAGGCGGCUGCUGACUUUGCUGAAUGAAUGUAGGAGGAAGGCAAAGGGAAG